GGGGUGGUGGCGCAGUUGGCUAGUGCGUAGGUCUUAUAACUUUUGAGUUAUCCUGAGUUCGAACCUCUCUCACCCCA
rnacentral:tRNA from 1 species